UGGGGAAUAUUGGGCAAUGGAGGAAACUCUGACCCAGCGACGCCGCGUGGGGGAUGAAGGCCUUCGGGUUGUAAACCUCUUUCAGUAGGGAAGAAGCGAAAGUGACGGUACCUAAAGAAGAAGCACCGGCUAACUAUGUG
rnacentral:rRNA from 1 species